AUGAACGCUGGCGGCGUGCCUAAUCCAUGCAAGUCGAGCGAACGGACGAGAAGCUUGCUUCUCUGAUGUUAGCGGCGGACGGGUGAGUAACACGUGGAUAACCUACCUAUAAGACUGGGAUAACUUCGGGAAACCGGAGCUAAUACCGGAUAAUAUUUUGAACCGCAUGGUUCAAAAGUGAAAGACGGUCUUGCUGUCACUUAUAGAUGGAUCCGCGCUGCAUUAGCUAGUUGGUAAGGUAACGGCUUACCAAGGCAACGAUGCAUAGCCGACCUGAGAGGGUGAUCGGCCACACUGGAACUGAGACACGGUCCAGACUCCUACGGGAGGCAGCAGUAGGGAAUCUUCCGCAAUGGGCGAAAGCCUGACGGAGCAACGCCGCGUGAGUGAUGAAGGUCUUCGGAUCGUAAAACUCUGUUAUUAGGGAAGAGCAUAUGUGUAAGUAACUGUGCACAUCUUGACGGUACCUAAUCAGAAAGCCACGGCUAACUACGUG
rnacentral:rRNA from 1 species